rnacentral:rRNA from 1 species
UACGUAGGGUGCAAGCGUUUAAUCGGAAUUACUGGGCGUAAAGCGUGCGCAGGCGGCUUUGCAAGACAGAUGUGAAAUCCCCAGGCUUAACCUGGGAACUGCAUUCGAGACUGCAUUGCUAGAGUAUGGGAGAGGGAAGUGGAAUUUCCGGUGUAGCGGUGAAAUGCGUAGAUAUCGGAAGGAACAUCAGUGGCGAAAGCGACUUCCUGGACCAAUACUGACGCUCAUGUGCGAAAGCGUGGGGAGCAAACAGG